GAUGAAGAACGUAGCGAAAUGCGAUACUUGGUGUGAAUUGCAGAAUCCCGUGAACCAUCGAGUCUUUGAACGCAAGUUGCGCCCGAAGCCUCGGCUAAGGGCACGUCUGCCUGGGCGUCACGCAUCGCGUCUCCCCCAAACCGCCAAGGCGGAGGGGAAGGAAGAUGGCUUCCCGUGCCUCACCCGGCGCGGUUGGCCUAAAUUUGGAGCCCGCGGCACUUAGCUCUCGCGGCGAUAGGUGGUGAACAAGGCCUUGGCCGUGCAAACAACCCGCUGCGAAGCUCUAUGUCACGUGCGCUCGUCGGACCCUUUGAAGUUGCCUUCGGUGACUUAAAACCUUUGCGACCCCAGGUCAGGCGGGGCUACCCGCUGAAUUUAAGCAUAUCAAUAGCGGAGGA
rnacentral:misc_RNA from 1 species